rnacentral:rRNA from 1 species
UACAGAGGGUGCGAGCGUUAAUCGGAAUUACUGGGCGUAAAGCGCACGUAGGCGGCUUGGUAUGUCGGGUGUGAAAUCCCCGGGCUCAACCUGGAAACUGCAUCCGAAACUGCCUUGCUCGAGUAUGGGAGAGGGAAGUGGAAUUUCCGGUGUAGCGGUGAAAUGCGUAGAUAUCGGAAGGAACAUCAGUGGCGAAGGCGACUUCCUGGACCAAUACUGACGCUCAGGUGCGAAAGCGUGGGGAGCAAACAGG